rnacentral:rRNA from 1 species
CCCUUAGAUGUUCUGGGCCGCACGCGUGCUACACUGAGUAAUUCAAUGGGUAAGGGAACGCUAGAGCAUUACCUAAUCUUGAAAUUUGCUCGUGAUGGGGAUCGACGGUUGCAAUUUUCCGUCGUGAACGAGGAAUACCUUGUAGGCGCAUGUCAUCAUCAUGCGCCAAAUACGUCCCUGCCCUUUGUACACACCGCCCGUCGCUCCUACCGAUUGAGUGAUCCGGUGAGGCUCUGGGACCUGGACGGAAAGAGCGUUUCGCUUGUUCUGUUUGGGAAACUUGGUCGAACCUUAUCAUUUAGAGGAAGGAGAAGUCGUAACA